rnacentral:rRNA from 1 species
GACGAACGCUGGCGGCGUGCCUAAUACAUGCAAGUAGAACGCUGAAGGAGGAGCUUGCUUCUCUGGAUGAGUUGCGAACGGGUGAGUAACGCGUAGGUAACCUGCCUGGUAGCGGGGGAUAACUAUUGGAAACGAUAGCUAAUACCGCAUAAUAGUAGAUGUUGCAUGACAUUUGCUUAAAAGGUGCAAUUGCAUCACUACCAGAUGGACCUGCCUUGUAUUAGCUAGUUGGUGGGGUAACGGCUCACCAAGGCGACGAUACAUAGCCGACCUGAGAGGGUGAUCGGCCACACUGGGACUGAGACACGGCCCAGACUCCUACGGGAGGCAGCAGUAGGGAAUCUUCGGCAAUGGACGGAAGUCUGACCGAGCAACGCCGCGUGAGUGAAGAAGGUUUUCGGAUCGUAAAGCUCUGUUGUAAGAGAAGAACGAGUGUGAGAGUGGAAAGUUCACACUGUGACGGUAUCUUACCAGAAAGGGACGGCUAACUACGUG